UACGUAGGGUGCAAGCGUUAAUCGGAAUUACUGGGCGUAAAGCGUGCGCAGGCGGCUUUGCAAGACAGAUGUGAAAUCCCCGGGCUCAACCUGGGAACUGCAUUUGUGACUGCAUGGCUAGAGUGCGGCAGAGGGGGAUGGAAUUCCGCGUGUAGCAGUGAAAUGCGUAGAUAUCGUUUGGAACGCCAAUGGUGAAAACAGGUUGCUGGGAGUGUGCUGACGCUGAGACACGAAAGCCAGGGGAGCAAACGGG
rnacentral:rRNA from 1 species